AUUGAACGCUGGCGGCAUGCCUUACACAUGCAAGUCGAACGGCAGCGGGGGAGAAGCUUGCUUUUCCUGCCGGCGAGUGGCGAACGGGUGAGUAAUACAUCGGAACGUGUCCUGUAGUGGGGGAUAACUAGUCGAAAGAUUAGCUAAUACCGCAUACGACCUGAGGGUGAAAGUGGGGGACCGCAAGGCCUCAUGCUAUAGGAGCGGCCGAUGUCUGAUUAGCUAGUUGGUGAGGUAAAGGCUCACCAAGGCGACGAUCAGUAGCUGGUCUGAGAGGACGACCAGCCACACUGGAACUGAGACACGGUCCAGACUCCUACGGGAGGCAGCAGUGGGGAAUUUUGGACAAUGGGCGAAAGCCUGAUCCAGCCAUUCCGCGUGAGUGAAGAAGGCCUUCGGGUUGUAAAGCUCUUUCGCAAGGGAAGAAAACUUAUCCUCUAACAUAGGGUGAGGUUGACGGUACCUUGAUAAGAAGCACCGGCUAACUACGUGCCAGCCGCCGCCGUAA
rnacentral:rRNA from 1 species